rnacentral:rRNA from 1 species
GAGGUCCCGCCUGCCCUGUGAUCAUGUAUUUAACGGCCGCGGUAUUUUGACCGUGCAAAGGUAGCGCAAUCACUUGUCUUUUAAAUGGAGACCUGUAUGAAUGGCAUAACGAAGGUCUAGCUGUCUCCCCUUUCCAGUCAAUGAAAUUGAUCUCCCCGUGCAGAAGCGGGGGUAAAAGCAUAAGACGAGAAGACCCUGUGGAGCUUUAGACCCAAGGACAGAUCAUGUCAACAACGCCCGCCCCCAAGAAGCUAGAACUAAUUGAAAUCUGUCCCACUGUCUUUAGUUGGGGCGACUGCGGAGUAAUAAUUAACCCCCGCGCAGAAUGAAAGGACCACCUCUUUAAAGCAAAGACCUACACCUCUAACUAGCAGAACAUCUGACUGAAUAUGAUCCGGUACAACCGAUCAACGAACCGAGUUACCCCAGGGAUAACAGCGCAAUCCUCUUCAAGAGCCCCUAUCGACAAGAGGGUUUACGACCUCGAUGUUGGAUCAGGACACCCUAGUGGGGCAGCCGCUACUAAGGGUUCGUUUGUUCAACGAUUAAAGUCCUAC